GGGCUGGGGCUCAGCGGUAGAGCGCUCGUCUCGCACACGCGGGACCCUGGGUUUGACCCUCAGCACCACA
rnacentral:tRNA from 1 species